GACGAUGAUUAUUUGUUGUUUGACUUGUACUACAUAAUGNNGGGGAUGGCAAUAAAGAAGAAAGAUGUAGCUGUCCUUUUUUAUUCAGAAAAGAAAUAAAAGAAUGAUUUACAUGUCUAAGGCGAGCAUGCCAUAAAUCAUAUGAAGCACGAAAAGAUUUAUUUUUUUAGGACAGAAAGAAAAGUCGAAUUUCUACGUUCUAGCACAUAUAGUCGAUCAUCUCAUUUACCGAUCGUCACCACUCUUCCCAUUUGGCGAUUCUGAAUAGUGAAAAAAUUAUUAGUGAACUUAGUAGAUAAUGGAAAGUCAUUCGUUAAUCUACUAAUGGAAAAAAGAUUUUUAGGAUGUGAGGAAUGACCAAAACAUCUAACAGUUGAAAAUCAGGAGAAUAGGAAAAUUUACCCGUAUGGGUAAUGGGUAGGGACGCACCACUUUCGACAAUAACACAAUCCUUACCCAUAUAAGAAGUGGACUGAUCCAAGAGGGUUUGGGCUGAGGCCCCUGUGUCUAAAAACUAAUUCGAGGCCUUGUUUCAAAAAGGGAACAUGGAGAAUUGAGGGCUUCUGCAAGUUGAGCCUCACGGGUAUGACCAAGGCGUUCAUACUGUUUUUGGCACCAGUCUGCAUAGUGACCAUUUGCGCGACAAAUUUGAUAGCGCGGGGGUCGUCUGCGGGAGAAACGUCCCUGUCCUUGUCCGUGAUCGACAGUCUGACUGUGUUGGUUGUGAUAAGAAGAGCUUCGCUGAUUAAACUUCACAGGGUUGCGAUUGGUGGCUUGAACACCGCAGGGGAUGGUGUAGCCAGCUCUAGGGAUUUUUGAAAGAGCUCAAAGCUCUCUACCUUUGGCAUAAGAUCUGAAAAACAUGUCAAAGGGGUGAGGGCCAUUUGGGCCUGGAGAAGAUUGAGAAUUUCGAGCCAAGACCUCGAAGAAAUCAGUGCACUUUGUCAGUGCCAUCAACGGGUCAUCCGAUGACAUGGAGUUGAUCGCAGAGGACCUUGAAGGCGCGGGAGUAUUCCGAAACAGAUCUGGUGCCUAGUUUCAUCAGUUGCAAAUCAUCCUUGAGACGAAUUUCAGGGGCUUUGAAGUGGUGGCUGAAGGUGUUCUCUAAGGCAACUCACAAUUCACUUGAAGUAGAGAGUCCCAAACUUCCACCUUGGCCUCCACGGUGAGGGAGGACCACAGAAGGCUGAGGAGGCAUUGAUCGAUUUGUUUCCAUGGCACAUGUUUGAUAUUUGGUGUCUAAGAAUUUUCAGGGGCAAAACGGGGUGGGGUUUCUAUAGUUCCAUCCACAUAGCCGAUCAGUUCUUGGCUCUCUAAAAUGGGAAGCAAAUGGCUCUACCAUAGGAGAUAGUUGGAAGAGGAUAGUUUGAUUGUAACCAUGUGGAUGAGGGUAUUGAAAGGGAGAAUAUUGGGGGAGGGUUUGACAGCCAUGGGAAGGAAGGCAGGAUCACGGAUCAUGUGAGGGAGGUUAAUCCGUAGAGGGUUCGGAUACCAAAAGAGUGUUUAGAAAAUCACCACACUUUCUAGUGGUGAGUUGCUUUCAUAUUUAUAUCUAUAUUUACAUAAUCGUAUAUGGUAUGAUUACGAUAGAAUGGGAACAAUACAAUUGAAUGGAAAGAAUUAAGGAAACAAGGAAGAGGCUUCAAUUAUGGGUUAAAUGAGAAUACAAAUGGGAAGUCUUUUUUUCAAUAAACAUUUAUUGUUUUUCCUCAUCUUUUAUUUAAUAUACUUUUUUCUUAUUUGCAAAUGGCUCUUUUAUUUUAAAAAAUUAAAAUAAAGAGCGUGUUGAGGGA
rnacentral:lncRNA from 1 species